GGGAGUCUGGCCGAGUGGUUAAGGCGCUGUGUUUAGGUUGGCUGAAAGGCAAUCAAAACGAUCCGCAGUGGGAAACCGCGCAGGUUCGAAUCCUGCGGCUCUCA